AGCAACUUAUUAUCUCUUCCUAGAGAUGCUGCAGUAGCAGCCCCAGACUGAGAUGGCUCCAACACCUCUUCAUUCCUGCUCUGGGCUCCUUGGGCUCCGCUUCUCCCGUGUCCUCCUUGCCUUCUGGUGCACUUUUGUGGGCAGUGGCUCUGCCCAGAAUGUGGUCCAGACUCCAAGCUUUGUCAGUGGCUCGACAGGGCAAAAUAUUUCCUUCGGUUGCUCUGUUGACAAUGGCUAUAAUUUGUUUUGGUAUCACCAACUGCCUGGGAAGACAGAAUUGGAACUCCUUGGGAUGGUCUACAGUUACAGUGACAAACUUGAAGACAUUGGAAAUGAUUUCAAGGGUCGGCUGAAUGCAAAUUUUGCAGAGAGGUCAGGCAAGCGGGAAAUGCGUUUGGAAUUGUCAAAACUUCAGGCGAGUGACAAAGGCCUGUAUCUGUGUGCUGCAGUGAACACAGUGAAAGAGAAAGGAAGUGUGGCAGAUGCAAAACUUAUCUCAGGAACAAAUCUGCCCUUUACUCUUUUCUAUUCAUAG